rnacentral:lncRNA from 1 species
UGGUUUUUAAAGAACUUCUAUUUCCUAUUUUAAAUUUUGUUUUAUUUUUUUCGUUUAUUUUAUUUUUUAUUAAUCUUAGUUGCGUUUAGUUUUCCCAUAGCAGGUGUAGAUACCAUGGAUUGACAGAACCAAAAAAAGAGUCAAAGAACCCAUCAACUAGGCUCUAUGUCACGACUUCCUAGACAAAACACACCUUGCAAUGUUAAAGGCCCCAUUUCAUCUGAAUAUUUUUAGACGUUCUAUCAUCCAUAAUCAACACUUGUUCGUUUUAAUUUAUUUUCU